rnacentral:rRNA from 1 species
AGUGAACGCUGGCGGUAGGCCUAACACAUGCAAGUCAAACGAGUGGCGGACGGGUGAGGAAUAAAUCGGAAUCUACUCUGUCGAGGGGGAUCUCGUAGGGGAACUUACGCUAAUAACGCAUACGAUUGAAUGCGCCGAUGUCGGAUUGGCUAGUUGGCGGGGUAAAGGCCCACCAAGGCGACGAUCCGUAGCUGGUCUGGUAGGAUGAUCAGCCAUACUGUAACUGAGACAGGGUCCAGACUCGUACGGGAGGCAGCAGUGGGGAAUAUUGGACAAUGGGCGCAAGCCUGAUCCAGCCAUGCCGCGUGGGUGAAGAAGGCCUUCGGGUUGUAAAGCCCUUUUGUUGGGAAAGCGGUACCCAAAGAAUAAGCACCGGCUAACUUCGUGCCAGCAGCCGCGGUAAUUC